AUUGAACGCUGGCGGCAUGCCUUACACAUGCAAGUCGAACGGCAGCACGGGUGCUUGCACCUGGUGGCGAGUGGCGAACGGGUGAGUAAUACAUCGGAACAUGUCCUUUAGUGGGGGAUAGCCCGGCGAAAGCCGGAUUAAUACCGCAUACGAUCUACGGAUGAAAGCGGGGGACCUUCGGGCCUCGCGCUAUAGGGUUGGCCGAUGGCUGAUUAGCUAGUUGGUGGGGUAAAGGCCUACCAAGGCGACGAUCAGUAGCUGGUCUGAGAGGACGACCAGCCACACUGGGACUGAGACACGGCCCAGACUCCUACGGGAGGCAGCAGUGGGGAAUUUUGGACAAUGGGCGAAAGCCUGAUCCAGCAAUGCCGCGUGUGUGAAGAAGGCCUUCGGGUUGUAAAGCACUUUUGUCCGGAAAGAAAUCCUUGGCCCUAAUACGGUCGGGGGAUGACGGUACCGGAAGAAUAAGCACCGGCUAACUACGUG
rnacentral:rRNA from 1 species